rnacentral:rRNA from 1 species
CAGUAGCCCGGUAACACGGAGGGCGCGAGCGUUACCCGGAUUUACUGGGCGUAAAGGGCGUGUAGGCGGCCUGGGGCGUCCCAUGUGAAAGGCCACGGCUCAACCGUGGAGGAGCGUGGGAUACGCUCAGGCUAGAGGGUGGGAGAGGGUGGUGGAAUUCCCGGAGUAGCGGUGAAAUGCGCAGAUACCGGGAGGAACGCCGAUGGCGAAGGCAGCCACCUGGUCCACUUCUGACGCGGAGGCGCGAAAGCGUGGGGAGCAAACCGGAUUAGAUACCCGCGUAGUCCCUGUCUCUUAUACA